rnacentral:lncRNA from 1 species
CUCUGCUUUUCCCCGCAGCCGCAUUACUCUCUCUCCCCGACCUCUCGCACUCCCUCUCUCUUCUUCCUCUGCAACCACCGGAAAUGCCAUCUCCGGCCACCACCUCCUAUCACCGCCAUUACCAAUCAACUCAACACCAAAAUCCGACCCAAACCCAUGAGAAAUCGAAGCCAUGCAUCGAUCCCAACCUCUCUCUUCCGUUCUCCUUCUCUCUGACACCACCGGAGACUCCAGCUCCGACCACCAUCUCCCCACACCGCCUCCACCAGUCGACGCACCACCCAAACCCGAGGCUUACCGUCCACAUGAAUCGCCUCCAGCCUCUGCACCGGAUCCUCAAAGCAGCGAUGCCACUGCUCGUUGGCUUUCCUCGAUUUCCGGCCAUCAGCUCGCCACACCGCCAUCACUUCUCGACUCAGAACUCGCCGGACGUCCAAACCUUGAAUCCUUGUUGACUGCCGAUGCCGGAGAGCGCCGUACCAGUCUUAUGCAGGAGUCUUAGCUUCUGCUAGGAUCGAUUUUUUCCUCCGAUCGAAAUUGAGCUAUGCCGCCUCCAAGGAUGGAAUCAGGGCUUCACGAUCUAUCAAAGCCCUAGACCCCCGACCUCUAGCUCCGACUAGAGCCACCGCACGCGCCUCACGCGCCGCCACAGGCGCGUGGACCACCGUAACUCCGUCGCUCACGGUCGCCGGAAUCGUCAGGACUUCUCGAUUAGGUA